rnacentral:tRNA from 1 species
GCCCGUUUGGCUCAAUGGAUAGAGCGUCAGCCUGCGGACUGAAGUGUUCCAGGUUCGAUUCCGGUCAAGGGCA